rnacentral:rRNA from 1 species
CCUACGGGGGGCUGCAGUCGGGAAUUUUGGGCAAUGGGCGAAAGCCUGACCCAGCAACGCCGCGUGAAGGAUGAAGUAUUUCGGUAUGUAAACUUCGUAAGAAUAGGAAGAAUCAAUGACGGUACUAUUUGUAAGCUCCGGCUAACUACGUGCCAGCAGCCGCGGUAAUACGUAGGGGGCAAGCGUUGUUCGGAUUUACUGGGCGUAAAGGGCGCGUAGGCGGCGUGACAAGUCACUUGUGAAAUCUCCGGGCUUAACUCGGAACGGUCAAGUGA